UCUUUAUUGUUGUCAGAACAACUUGAAGAGUGCAUGGGGUUGAGAAUUGUGGAUUUUUUAGCGUUAAGGAUUUUUCUUUAAAAGUUUUAAAUGGGCCGGGGUGUGUCGAAAAUUAUGUUUGAUAUUUUGAUAUAUUAUAUUUAAGUCCUGAUGAAUACAGCAUCAAGAGUUGACUUGAAAUUGUAAUAUGUACAACUUUUUGAAUGGAUUGUUUUUUUAUAUGUUUGCUAUAAUCAUUUCAUGUCAAGAAGUAUGAACUUUUGAAAAGUAUGAACUUGUGCAUUGCAUAAAAGUUGUUUGAACUACUCAAGGGAAUAUUAAUAAUCUAUGUCUUCUUGUGAUAUUUUUUUUCAUUUGUUAAAAUUAUAUAUUAUUUUUCAUUUUAUACAUUAAAGCAAAUGGAAAAAAUGU
rnacentral:sRNA from 1 species